rnacentral:rRNA from 1 species
UACAGAGGUCUCAAGCGUUGUUCGGAUUCAUUGGGCGUAAAGGGUGUCGUAGGUGGCGCCGGUAAGUCGGGUGUGAAAUUUCGAGCUUAACUCCGAAACUGCAUUCGAUACUGCCGUGCUUGAGGACUGGAGAGGAGACUGGAAUUUACGGUGUAGCGGUGAAAUGCGUAGAUAUCGUAAGGAAGACCAGUGGCGAAGGCGGGUCUCUGGACAGUUCCUGACGCUGAGGCACGAAGGCCAGGGGAGCAAACGGG